rnacentral:rRNA from 1 species
GGGGUAACGGCUCACCUAGGCAACGAUCCCUAGCUGGUCUGAGAGGAUGACCAGCCACACUGGAACUGACACACGGUCCACACUCCUACGGGAGGCAUCAGUGGGGAAUAUUGCAGAAUGGGCGCAAGCCUGAUGCAUCCAUGCCGCGUGUAUGAAGAAGGCCUUCGGGUUGUAAAGUACUUUCAGCGGGGAGGAAGGUGUUGUGGUUAAUAACCACAGCAAUUGACGUUACCCGCAGAAGAGCACCGGCUAACUCCGUGCCAGCAGCCGCGGUAAUACGGAGGGUGCAAGCGUUAAUCGGAAUUACUGGGCGUAAAGCGCACGCAGCGGUCUGUCAAGUCGGAUGUGAAUCCCCGGGCUCAACCUGGGAACUGCAUUGAAAAUGGCAGGCUAGAGUCUGUAGAGGGGGUAGAAUUCCAGGGUAGCGGUGAAAUGCGUAGAGAUCUGGAGGAAUACCGGUGCGAAGGCGGCCCCCGGACAAAGACUGACGCUCAGGUGCGAAAGCGUGGGAGCAAACAGGAUUAGAUACCCUGGUAGUCCACGCCGUAAACGAUGUCGAUUUGGAGGUUGUGCCCCUGAGGCGUGGCUUCCGGAGCUAACGCGUUAAAUCGACCGCCUGGGGAGUACGGCCGCAAGGUUAAAACUCAAAUGAAUUGACGGGGGCCCGCACAAGCGGUGGAGCAUGUGGUUUAAUUCGAUGCAACGCGAAGAACCUUACCUGGUCUUGACAUCCACAGAACUUUCCAGAGACGGAUUGGUGCCUUCGGGAACUGUGAGACAGGUGCUGCAUGGCUGUCGUCAGCUCGUGUUGUGAAAUGUUGGGUUAAGUCCCGCAACGAGCGCAACCCUUAUCCUCUGUUGCCAGCGGUCCGGCCGGGAACUCAAAGGAGACUGCCAGUGAUAAACUGGAGGAAGGUGGGGAUGACGUCAAGUCAUCAUGGCCCUUACGCCCAGGGCUACACACGUGCUACAAUGGCGCAUACAAAGAGAAGCGACCUCGCGAGAGCAAGCGGACCUCAUAAAGUGCGUCGUAGUCCGGAUUGGAGUCUGCAACUCGACUCCAUGAAGUCGGAAUCGCUAGUAAUCGUAGAUCAGAAUGCUACGGUGAAUACGUUCCCGGGCCUUGUACACACCGCCCGUCACACCAUGGGAGUGGGUUGCAAAAGAAGUAGGUAGCUUAAC